rnacentral:rRNA from 1 species
GACGAACGCUGGCGGCGUGCUUAACACAUGCAAGUGGGGCGACGAACCAGGCUUCGGCCUGGGGCAAAGCCGCGAACGGGUGAGUAACACGUGGAUAACCUGCCCCGAAGACCGGGACAACCCGGGGAAACCCGGGCUAAUACCGGAUGUGGUCACCGUCCAUAAGGACGAUGAGCAAAGGAAGCUUCGGCCUCCGCUUCGGGAGGGGUCCGCGGCCCAUUAGCUUGUUGGUGAGGUAACGGCUCACCAAGGCGACGAUGGGUAGCUGGUCUGAGAGGACGAUCAGCCACACUGGGACUGAGACACGGCCCAGACUCCUACGGGAGGCAGCAGUGGGGAAUCUUGCGCAAUGCGCGAAAGCGUGACGCAGCAACGCCGCGUGAGCGAAGAAGGCCUUCGGGUCGUAAAGCUCUUUCAGCAGGGACGAAGCUCCGGCAGCGAAUAGCUGUCCGGAGUGACGGUACCUGCAGAAGAAGCCCCGGCUAACUACGUGCCAGCAGCCGCGGUAAAAC